rnacentral:lncRNA from 1 species
GGGCGGGCACCACAGUGCCUGGUGCAGCCUCUCCUCUGUGCCAGGCAUUCUUCCGGGGGUGUGUGCAAGUGGACACAUAUUCCCGGCCCAAACAGGAUCCCGGGGCCUGGAUCGUUUGCCCAAAACAGUGGUUGCCACAGGAACGAGAAAGCUGGGGGGCCCGGUCUGGCCUUGGGCAGGUGUCUGGACCUUUCUGCCAAUCCCUCCUCAUUCAGGGAGGAAGCUGGAGGUCUGUGGAGGAUUUUGGGGUACAAUUUGAAAUGCAAUGAAGGCAGGGCUGCAGCUGGGAAGCUGCUCAGCCUGCAGGCAGCCCCCAGCCUGUCUGUCCCAGCCUCGCCAGGCCUGUCUCACGGCAGGGCUGCAGCCAAACCUUUAUUGGUUAAAUAGCACAUGUGGCCAAGUUUACUGGAGAAAAACAACAGCCAGGAAUGAAGACGGCUUUUCGGGCUGUUUUCCACUUUUCCUCCAAGCAGCUGAAGGUGCUCCUAGGGGCUGGAGCAUCGCGGACGCUGCGACCAGGCCCUGACCGGAGGGAGAAGCUACGACACGAAGGAGCUCGGACGUCUGGAGACGAGGGAGCCACACCAGUCCCAGUGCCUCUCCUGCAGCCACCUUGCCACUCUCCCCCUUGUCCCCGUCCUUAUAGCCUGCAGAGGGGGGCCGGGGAGGGGACGCCGCCAUGCUCAGGACCGAGGGGCCGGGACUGGAGAGCAGGAGUCAAACAGCAGGGACAACAGAUGCGCACGCAUGGGAGCCGCCGGGCCCUUUGCCCUGAGAGCUGUCACCACCCCACCUUCACAGAUGAGGAGACCGAGGCUCAGAGAAGCAAGUCACCUACCCCGGCUCAGAGCGCACAGCUGGAGCGAGCGUCAUGAAGCAGUGUUCUCCACGGUCCCCACCCAGCCCCACGUGGGCCUGUGUGAGGAAUGUCGUCCUCAGGCCCCAGACCUCCCGGAUCCGACCUGCAGGGAUCCCGAGGCCUCGCCCGCACAAGGCGCCUGAGCCCCGCCUUCUUGGCCACGGCCAGGCCUCAGUUCCUCCCUCUGCCUGAUCAGGUCCUUUCAAGCUUGAAAUGAGAACCCCAGACCCCCCAUGAGCUAAAAGCUUUGGUUUGUUGAUGGUUCAGAGGAUCUAAACUCAGCUUUGCUGGAAGGAAAGAGAAGCACCAGCAACAAGAAGCUAGUUCUCACUGCUCAAGAGAAUUCUGAGCAUUCUGCUGUUUAAUUCCACCUACCGGCCUCCACUGGAGGGGCCAGCCUUCCUCUUAGGGUGAAUCUCACCAAGUCUGAUCGCCUGGUCACCCCAGCUGUGGUGGACCUCGCAAAUGCGCCCUGGAGGAGCUUCAAACCUCAGGGUCUGCGUUUCAUUCGUUCCCCUCCAGCUCAUCCUGUCAUUGACUCUAAACGGCCGGUGGGGCCUUUGGUGCAGCACUGCCCGGGCUGCAGACACUGUCGCUGGCGGC